rnacentral:snRNA from 1 species
ACUCUGGUUUCUCUUUAGAUCGCAUAAAUCUUUCGCCUUUUACUAGAGAUUUCUGUGUAAAAAAAAAAAAACGGACCUGUAUGGUUAGGUAUGUGAUUAAACAAGUACAA